rnacentral:rRNA from 1 species
GACGAACGCUGGCGGCGUGCUUAACACAUGCAAGUCGAACGGAAAGGCCCUGCUUUUGUGGGGUGCUCGAGUGGCGAACGGGUGAGUAACACGUGAGUAACCUGCCCUUGACUUUGGGAUAACUUCAGGAAACUGGGGCUAAUACCGGAUAGGAGCUCCUGCUGCAUGGUGGGGGUUGGAAAGUUUCGGCGGUUGGGGAUGGACUCGCGGCUUAUCAGCUUGUUGGUGGGGUAGUGGCUUACCAAGGCUUUGACGGGUAGCCGGCCUGAGAGGGUGACCGGCCACAUUGGGACUGAGAUACGGCACAGACUCCUACGGGAGGCAGCAGUGGGGAAUAUUGCACAAUGGGCGGAAGCCUGAUGCAGCAACGCCGCGUGCGGGAUGACGGCCUUCGGGUUGUAGACCGCUUUCGCCUGUGACGAAGCGUGAGUGACGGUAAUGGGUAAAGAAGCACCGGCUAACUACGUG